rfam:Thermotalea metallivorans strain B2-1 AN619_contig000077, whole genome shotgun sequence.
CAGCCAGUAUCGUUUGUGAACUGGACUUAAUUUAUAUGGAAUUUCAUUUGCAAACGUGCAUGUCCGGUAUCCUGGAAAAAGGAAUUGGAACGGAGG